rnacentral:rRNA from 1 species
GACGUAGGGUGCAAGCGUUGUCCGGAUUUAUUGGGCGUAAAGAGCUCGUAGGCGGCUUGUUGCGUCGACUGUGAAAACCCGCGGCUUAACCGCGGGCUUGCAGUUGAUACGGGCAGGCUAGAGUUCGGUAGGGGAGACUGGAAUUCCUGGUGUAGCGGUGAAAUGCGCAGAUAUCAGGAGGAACACCGGUGGCGAAGGCGGCAUCCUGGACCAAUAUUGACGCUGAGGAGCGAAAGCCAGGGGAGCAAACGGG